CCUACGGGAGACUGCAGUGGGGAAUAUUGGGCAAUGGGCGCAAGCCUGACCCAGCAACGCCGCGUGAAGGAAGAAGGCUUUCGGGUUGUAAACUUCUUUUAAGAGGGAAGAGCAGAAGACGGUACCUCUUGAAUAAGCCACGGCUAACUACGUGCCAGCAGCCGCGGUAAUACGUAGGUGGCAAGCGUUGUCCGGAUUUACUGGGUGUAAAGGGCGUGCAGCCGGGAAGACAAGUCAGAUGUGAAAUCCCGCGGCUCAACCGCGGAACUGCAUUUGAAACUGUUUUUCUUGAGUACCGGAGAGGUCAUCGGAAUUCCUUGUGUAGCGGUGAAAUGCGUAGAUAUAAGGAAGAACACCAGUGGCGAAGGCGACUAUCUGGCUGUACAUUGACGCUGAGGCUCGAAAGCAUGGGGAUCAAACAGGAUUAGAUACCCUGGUAGUC
rnacentral:rRNA from 1 species